GCCUCUGUAGCUCAGUUGGUUAGAGCACUGCACCGGGAAUCGUAGGUUCAAUCCUUGCCAGAGGUC
rnacentral:tRNA from 1 species